AUGGCCAAGGGGCUCCUGGUGACCUAUGCUCUUUGGGCUGUAGGGGGUCCUGCUGGGCUCCACCACUUGUACCUGGGAAGGGACAGCCAUGCCCUGCUCUGGAUGCUUACCCUGGGUGGGGGUGGGCUGGGCUGGCUCUGGGAGUUCUGGAAGCUCCCAAGCUUUGUAGCUCAGGCCAACAGAGCCCAGGGCCAGAGGCAGAGCCCAGGAGGGGGGACACCCCCUUUGAGUCCCAUUCGCUUUGCUGCUCAGAUGGUAGUGGGCAUCUAUUUUGGCCUUGUGGCUCUGAUUAGCCUUUCUUCCAUGGCCAACUUCUACACUGUGGCCCUCCCACUGGCAGUUGGCUUAGGGGUCUUGCUGGUGGCUACUGUUGGCAACCAGACCUCAGACUUCAAGAACACUCUAGGAGCAGCAUUCCUUACUUCCCCUAUCUUCUAUGGCCGCCCCAUAGCCAUCCUACCCAUCAGCUUGGCUGCCAGCAUCACAGCCCAGAAGCAUCGCAGCUACAAAGCUUCAGUGAAGUCAGAGACACUCAGUGUGCGGCUCUACCGGCUAGGCCUGGCUUACCUUACUUUCACGGGCCCACUGGCAUACAGUACCCUCUGCAACACAGCUGCCACCCUCAGCUAUGUGGCAGAAACCCUUGGCUCCUUCUUGAAUUGAUUCAGCUUCUUCCCCCUUCUUGGCCACCUCAUGGAGUCUGUCCUCCUUCUGCCUUAUCGGAUCUGGAGGCUACUGGUGGGGGAUCCCGGCUUCAACAGCAGCUACUUCCAGGAGUGGGAGAAGCUCUAUGAGUUUGUUCAAAGUUUUCAAGAUGAGAAGCGUCAGCUGGCUUACCAGGUUUGGGGCCUCUCAGAAGGGGCAACAAAUGAAGAAAUACAUCGGAGUUACCGGGAGCUGGUGAAGGUCUGGCAUCCUGACCACAACCUGCACCAGACAGAGGAGGCACAGAGGCACUUCCUGGAAAUCCAGGCUGCAUAUGAAGCCCUGAGUCAGCCCAGGAAGUCCAAGGGACCCUGAAGGUGAGAAGAGACUUCCCCCUAAGGAUGGACUCUUCCCAG